rnacentral:misc_RNA from 1 species
AUAGCCUCUCCAAACCUUGGUUUUUUAUUAAAUCAAGUGCUUUGGGUCCCUGGGCCUGUAGCGGCGACGUUACUUGCCUUAAAAGGAUCAAAGAAGACCCAAUCGGAUGUUAAGCAUGAUAUCCUUUGGGGUCUUUGAACGACUAUAAACUAUAU